UGUAUCUUUGGGGUGAAUACAAUUACGUAGUAUAGUAAUUGUUAAAUAUAUUUUUAGGGGUGAUAGGCUUAUCAAAUUUGCGGAUAACUUGAUACACAAUAAAAUUAUUAAGUAAUAAGUUAUAUUUUGAAAGUUAAGCUUCAGAAUUAUAAUUAAAUUUGAUUAAUGUUUACAUUAUAGUUUAAUAGCUAACUUAUAAGUAAUCUAAUUAUUUUUAUCAUCAUUUUGUUUUACAUAUUGUGUUAUAUUUAUUAAGAAUAGUAUUAAUAAUGUUAGUAUAAGUAAUGUUAUUAAGUAAGUAAAAUGAACUCGGCAACAUAUUUUUCAACUGUUUAUCAAAAACAUAACUGUAUGAAUAUUAUAUUCAGCUUUUCCUGCUCAAUGAUAUUAAAUAGCCGCAGUACCCUGACUGUGCAAAGGUAGCAUAAUCAUUUGGCUCAUAAUUGGAGUCUAGUAUGAACGGAUCUUUGGAAAAUAACUUUAUUAUAUUUAUUUAUUUGAAAUUAGUUUGUAAGUGAAAAUACUUAUAUAUAUAUAAAGGACGAGAAGACCCUAGAAAUUUUUUCAUUUUGUUGGGGCGACAGAAUUACAUAUAACUAAUUUGAUUUAACUUGACGUUAUUACAGUCCGACUAAAUUACUCUAGGGAUAACAGCAUAAUUUUAGUAGUUUGUGACCUCGAUGUUGGACUAGGAUAUUAAUGGUUUAGAAGACUUUUAAGACUGCUCUGUUCGAGCU
rnacentral:rRNA from 1 species